rnacentral:rRNA from 1 species
UGCGUAGGCGGUUAGUUAAGUCAGUUGUUAAAGCCCAUGGCUUACCCAUGGAACAGCAAUUGAUACUGUCUGACUAGAGGGCAAGAGAGAGGAGUGGAAUUCUCGGAGUAGCGGUAAAAUGCGUAGAUCUCGAGAGGAACACCGAUGGCGAAGGCAGCUCCUUGGCUUGUCCCUGACGCUGAGGCACGAAAGCGUGGGGAGCAAACAGGAUUAGAUACCCUGGUAGUCC